GCACUGCUGACCAGUCCUAGACAGGACGAAACAGCUGUCCAGUGC
rnacentral:hammerhead_ribozyme from 1 species